rnacentral:rRNA from 1 species
UGGGAAUCUGCCCUUAGGUACGGAAUAACUCAGGGAAACUUGAGCUAAUACCGUAUGAUGACUUCGGUCCAAAGAUUUAUCGCCUAUGGCUGAGCCCGCGUCGGAUUAGCUAGUUGGUGAGGUAAAGGCUCACCAAGGCGACGAUCCGUAGCUGGUCUGAGAGGAUGAUCAGCCACACUGGGACUGAGACACGGCUCAGACUCCUACGGGAGGCAG